GUUUCUACCCUGAGUGAGCCACGAUCUUCAGGAGGAAAGACGGAAGGACAUCCAUGAAUGUGUAUAAAGGAGAGAUUUUCUAUAACCAUAAUGUGACCUUCCAGACAGAUUACAGUACCCCAUGCAUGAAUACUCUGUUGGUUGGUCUGCUUCUUCUCAUCUUCAUAGCUGCCACUGAAUUUGCUGUUCACAAAAAAGAAGAAAAGUGAGAGAUUUAAAGGAGUUCUUCCCUCAUUUUCUGUCCUCCAGAAGACUCCCUCCUCUCCAGUCAGCUGCCACGCUACAGGUUUCUAUCCUCAAAGAGCCGUGAUGUUCUGGAGCAAGGAUGGAGAGGAGCUUCAGUGCUCUGCU